CCUACGGGAGGCAGCAGUGAGGAAUAUUGGUCAAUGGACGAGAGUCUGAACCAGCCAAGUAGCGUGAAGGAUGACUGCCCUAUGGGUUGUAAACUUCUUUUAUAUGGGAAUAAAAUGUUCCACGUGUGGGAUUUUGUAUGUACCAUAUGAAUAAGGAUCGGCUAACUCCGUGCCAGCAGCCGCGGUAAUACGGAGGAUCCGAGCGUUAUCCGGAUUUAUUGGGGUUAAAGGGAGCGUAGGUGGGUUUUUAAGUCAGGUGUGAAAGUUUGCGGGUCAACCGUAAAAUUGCAGUUGAAACUGGCGGUCUUGAGUACAGUAGAGGUGUGCGGAAUGCGUGGUGUAGCGGUGAAAUGCUUAGAUAUCACGAAGAACUCCGAUUGCGAAGGCAGUUCACUGGACUGCAACUGACACUGAGGCUCGAAAGUGUGGGGAUCAAACAGGAUUAGAUACCCUUGUAGUC
rnacentral:rRNA from 1 species